rnacentral:rRNA from 1 species
AGGACAAGAGYCCGGASRUGGAUUCUGAGACASGAAUCCAGGCCCUACGGGGUGCAGCAGGCGSGAAAACUUUACAAUKSCGGCAWCGGCGAUAAGGGGACCUCGAGGUGCCAGGUUACAAAUCUGGCUGUCGUGAUGCCUAAAAAGCAUUGCAUAGCAAGGGCCGGGCAAGACCCGGUGCCAGCCGCCGCGGUAACACCGGCGGCUCGAGUGGUAACCGUUAUUAUUGGGUCUAAAGGGUCUGUAGCCGGCCGGGAUAAGUCUCUUGAGAAAUCCAGCAGCUCAACUGUUGGGCUUUCAGGAGAUACUGUUCGGCUCGAGGCCGGGAGAGGUGAGAGGUACUUCAGGGGUAGGGGUGAAAUCUUGUAAUCCUUGAAGGACCACCAGUGGCGAAGGCGUCUCACCAGAACGGACCUGACGGCAAGGGACGAAAGCUAGGGGCACGAACCGGAUUAGAUACCCGGGUAGUCCUAGCCGUAAACGAUACUCGCUAGGUGUCGGCCACGGUGCGACCGUUGUCGGUGCCGUAGGGAAGCCGUGAAGCGAGCCACCUGGGAAGUACGGCCGCAAGGCUGAAACUUAAAGGAAUUGGCGGGGGAGCACCACAACGGGUGGAGCUUGCGGUUUAAUUGGAUUCAACGCCGGAAAUCUUACCGGGACCGACAGCGAUAUGAAGGCCAGGCUGAAGACUUUGCCGGAUUAGCUGAGAGGUGGUGCAUGGCCGUCGUCAGUUCGUACUGUGAAGCAUCCUGUUAAGUCAGGCAACGAGCGAGACCCACGCCCACAGUUGCCAGCGUACUCUCCGGAGUGACGGGUACACUGUGGGGACCGCCGCUGCUAAAGCGGAGGAAGGAAUGGGCAACGGUAGGUCAGUAUGCCCCGAAUAUCCCGGGCUACACGCGAGCUACAAUGGUUGGUACAAUGGGUAUCUACCCCGAAAGGGGAUGGAAAUCUCCUAAAACCAAUCUUAGUUCGGAUUGAGGGCUGCAACUCGCCCUCAUGAAGCUGGAAUCCGUAGUAAUCGCGUUUCAACAGAACGCGGUGAAUACGUCCCUGCUCCUUGCACACACCGCCCGUCAAACCACCCGAGUAGGGUCUGAAUGAGAGCGCUUCCUAAGGAGGCGUUCGAAUUUGGGCUUUGCAAGGGGGGUUAA